UACGUAGGGUGCAAGCGUUGUCCGGAAUUAUUGGGCCUAAAGCAUCCGUAGCCGGUUUUACAAGUCCUCCGUUAAAUCCAACUGCUUAACAGAUGGGCCGCGGAGGAUACUAUAAGACUAGGAGGCAGGAGAGGCAAGCGGUACUCAGUGGGUAGGGGUAAAAUCCGUUGAUCCAUUGAAGACCACCAGUGGCGAAGGCGGCUUGCCAGAAUGCGCUCGACGGUGAGGGAUGAAAGCUGGGGGAGCAAACCGG
rnacentral:rRNA from 1 species